UCACUUUUAAGAGAUUUAGAGGAGUGAGAAGACAUGACUAAAGCUUUGUGUGUAGAAGUAUUUUACCUUGAGAAAAAUUUAGGGAAGUCAAAGAAGGUAGUCUUCCAGGUAAGGGAGGUGAGUCACAGUGGACUACUUAAAUACCAAGCCUUUGCCUUAGUCAAAAACUAUCCCUCAAUGUCUUCACACAAAGCUUUCUCUUAGUAAACCACUUGGAACACAAUUAAGUUGAGAAAUCAGAUUUUAAUGCAAGAAAACAAUGCAAGCUAACUAAUCAACAAAGCUAGACGGUUUAUCACAAACUUAACAAAAUAUUCAUGCAAAGCGUCACUAACUAAGCAAAAGAAAAGGCAAUUACAAACAAGUAACAAUUACUAAACAAGAAUGCUAUACUAUUCGGCCCUAGGUGAGGCUUCUUGGACACUUGGAGCCCUUGAAGACACACUCACCGUCUAAAACGUAAUUAAAAGGGUAAUUAACAAUAAACCAGGUUGCAAAGGAAUUAAGAAAACUCCCUUUGUUGAUCCUCUUUUUGGUUAGUGCACUUCCUUGUUGUCUAUGCUUGUUUGAUCCUCCAAGUGUUUGUAGUGUUUUCUUUUUCAAGAAUGCUUGUUUCGGCUUUGGCUUUGUCUUCUCCUUAGAAUGAUGGUCUUAAUUCUCCAAUUUCCAGCACCUAUCAAAGGGCUAAACCUUAACCAAGUCAAGUUUCAAUCCACAUAAGCACCAAAGAAGAGAAGAAAUUCCAGCACCCAAAUUAGAGGUCAAAGAACAAAAGCAAGAAACAAUUAAAUUGAAUAAAACAGUACCACCAAAAGGAUUUAGAUUAUGACAACUAGAAAGAGAGUCAAGAAAUUAAAGCAACAAAUAAAAGGUAC
rnacentral:lncRNA from 1 species